AUUUUCCUGGCAAAACUGAACCACCCACUGCCACAACGUAGUUUUAAAACACAUUGAUUAUGAUAGCAUGAGGGGAAAGGGAUGAGACGACUGCGCAAGCGCGUUACCAGGCUGCCAGUGCUAUACUGGCUUCUUUAUAAAAUAGAGGAUAAAAAGCCCAACCCACCCUAUUUCUGCGAACAGAUGCACAGCACACACCUGUGAGCAGGGUUUUGCUAUUUCAUAUCCCAGAUUUCCUUCAUCGUAUCAGUGAUUACAGCAUCCUGCAGCCCUAUUUCCUGAAAAUUACCAAUUUUCAUCCAGAUUUGGCUUUGAGUGGUUUCAGUUAUAUCUUUAUUUUGAUGAAAUGUCCAGUAAAGCAGUGUGAGUGAGGUGUUUUAUUGAAAUAAAAACAUGGAUAUUUUUCAAAGAGGUUAUCCCAUUUGUCAAGGUGGAUGAUUGACCUCAGGGAUUUAUCAAUGGGGGGGAAAAAAGGGGAGAAAGAUGGGGAAUAAAUAUGUAUAUAAUAAUGUAUACCUUAAUUCUCCGUGCUGCUAAACUUUUCCUCACAGCCAAGCUGGGGAAUAUGCUUUAAUCUCACUUAUUGGAUUGCUUCAUCUGAAUAUGGUGGGUUUUUAUUUUAUUGUUUGCUUUUUUGCUGAAGCGAUGGGGCUCUAGCCGGGGAGUUAAGCACAAAGUUCCGUGAGGAAAAAGAGAAACUCCUGAAGAAAAAAAGAUAAAAUGAAAAGGAAAAGGAGGGUUUGGGGUGCCAAAAGGCGGCGCCGGCCGGGGCUGCCCCUCACGGCCCCUCAGGCGCUGCCCCCCCGCUCUCGCUUCACAAAAUGGCCGCCCGGCGGGGCCGCGGGAGCGGCUCUGAGGCGACAAAAUGGCGGCGGGCGGAGAGCGGGGCAAGGACGGGCCAGGAGCGGUGUGGGCACGGCGGAGAGCUCUGAUCCUGUGGGAAUCCCCUCCGGGCGGGCGGCGAAAGCGCUGCGGGGGUUGAAGCCGCCAUCUCCCGGUCUCCUCACGGCAUGGAAAAUCCCCAAAAGUGAUUAAGGAAAAAAAAAACAAACAAAAAAAAAAAAAAACAACACACCAAAAAAAAAAAAAAAAAAAAAAAGUCCCAAACGUACAAGGAUUGAUUUAUUAUCGGAGCCGGAGUGGUAUGGGAAGAAGCCAUCGCUGCUUGCCUGCUCCCCACGACAGCUCGCCCGCCAUUCACUUAAUUAAAAUCAUAUAUUGGUGUGAUCAGACGUGGUAAUACCAUUAAAAAAACCCCAAAUCCCGUAACAUCCACACGCUCGUUGUUGGAGGCUGUAGCCAAGUCCAUGAUGGAAGUUUGUGCCUGAAUGUUUUAUUUGUUCCACAGAGAUGUAGAUUUUCCUUGGGAGAUUUGGGAAGGAUUAUUUUUUAAUGCAAAAGAGGAAAAAAAUACACUCAGAAAAAAAACAAACAACAAAACCAAAACAAACAAUGAAAAAGAAACAAAAAGGAAAAAAGCACAACAGAACCAAACCGCAGUAAGUGAAGCUGCAAAUGCAACCCAGUAGUCCGGAUCAGACAAUUCAUUGCACAAAAAAAGGAUAAAUGGAGCUGCAAUGGCCGGCUUUGCUGUAGAUCCAGGAGGAGGGAUCAGCUCCUUUAUCCCACCAUCUCGCGCUACAAACACCACCAUUUUUUUCCCUCUCUCUCUCUCUCUCUUUUUUUUUUUUUUUUUUUAAAUACGCUUUGUUGGGGCGUUUUGUUUCGAGCCGAGGCGGCUGCACCACCCCCCGAGCCGGGGCUGCCGGAGCCGCUCGGGGGCUUCACUUUUACAGAGAUCUCUUAUUUAUCCCCGGCCUUGUGCAAUCCUCUCCCUUUUAUUACAUGGGUUUGGUUUUUUUUUCCUCUCCCCUCUGCGAGUAUAAAGGUUUCUCUCCUUCUCCAGCUUGGCUGCUUGUUCCAGAAGUUUCCACGGGGGCGGGGAGCCCCCACUGCGGCGCCUUUGCCGCAGCGCCGGGCAGGAGGAGGAGGAUGCGGAGGAUGCGCCACCUCUCCCUGGCUGGGAGCCUCAUUGCAAGCCGCUCCCCCUUGCUCCGUUCCCCAGCCUUGCAAACAGAGCGCUGGGAGGUGUUUGCAACUUGGAGGGGUUUGGGGUUUUUUUUUUUCGCUGGAGACAAGGCUUGAUUAGAGCUGGAACAAUAGCUCCCUUUUAUUAAUAACGGGAAGGAUUUACAAUCGUACAGCACCUUCCUUGGAAAGCUUUCCAAACCAUUUGCAAACACUCACAAAUUUCAGAUUGUGCAGCCCUUGGCUGUGAGGUGGUCCCUAAGUGACCUCCUGCAGCGCUGCCUCCACUGCGGUUCCAGCACAGCCUUGCACUGGAGCACUAAUGUGUGUCCCUGCGGGCCAGAGUGACCUUGCUGGGGGGACCGGGCCCACCGAGCGAUUCAGUGCUGGAAUCUGCAUUGGCAGGUGUGCAAAUGUGGAGACUGUAACAGCAGCAAGUGAGGAUGGAUGAGCUGUUUUCUGGGGUCACAUCCAACUCUAGAGGAGAAACCCUGCCUGGAAGGCCAUAGUCCUGUCUAGUGAUGAAAGCCCUGUGUUUGGGGAGAACCUUUGUGAGGUGAGCAGACACAGCUCUCUGGCACGUGGUUGCACAGGAGUUUGGGGGCAAGGGGAAGCAGGGCAGAGGCUGGCACUGUGAUAUUCCUGUGAUGCCUGUGAUAUUCUGUGAUAUUUUUUCCCAACAACAGGCUAAAGAAAAGGUGUUCUUUCUAAUAUAUCUACCAUACAAUAAGCAAGAGUAAACUCAAACACAGUCCUGUGUUGGUAUGUAGGUUUUGAUUGUGUGGCUUAACCAUCACACUGGGCUCUGCUGCUGAAGAAACCUCUGGUUCUUUGUAGAAAGAAUUUUAAAACCAGAAAUGAGCUUUUACAUGGAGAUAAAAGUGGGUUAAAUGUCAACUGAAGUCCAGGGGUCCCUGUAUACCGGGCUGUGGAAUGUGGCUGGUGCUACAUUUGCUACCACCAGCUACACCAGCUACAGUGGCUGGUGCCACUGGCUAAAAUGGAGGCAUUUUGGCAAUUCCAUCCCUGGCACCGUGGAUAAGAACACCAUGGGGAAGAGCAUCAGAAAAUAAAUUAUUAAAUGUUGCAUUUCAAAAAUGUGAAGGGAGUUUUCUGCACAGAGUCAUCUCAUCAGGAAGAUUUGGAGCACUAACUCUCAAAAAGAACCGAAAUCAAGAGCUUUAUUAAUAUAAAUCCUGUGCUUUGUGUUGGUUAAGGCUGCAGAACCCUGCUCCGUGCUCCAAGUGUUUUCAGCCCCUAAGCCCAUAGCCUGUGUCUUGGCAACAAAUGGGCCUAAAUAUCAAACAGCACCAAGUUUUUCUUGGAGAAAACGAGCAUAAAGCAGAAUGGGUAAGCUAUAAAAUUAGGCCAAUAAUGCAGGCUGGCUUAAAAAGGAGAUAAAAGCCUAGCUGGGAAUUUGAUAUUCAGCUGUCAUAGUGUUCUUUUAAUAAAUACUAUUAAUGAGCAAGGAAGAUAUGUAAAUACAUUUUAUCCUGACAAGAUGGUGGCUGGAGCUGGCUGGCUCAAACAAAGGAACACUCGGAGUGUUUCUUGGGGCUCUUUGCUGGGAAAUCUCCUGGUUUUUUACAGAAAGCAAAGGAACUUGCUGUGCACUGGUAGUGAGGAGAGCCCUUGUGUUCCCGCUCAGAUUCCCGUGAAUCCCGGCUGAUGUAGCCAGGGAGAGGUGUAAUGUCCCCCUUUCCCAGCACGCCACACAGAGAUGUUGCUGAGCCAGACCUGAGGGGAGGAAGUUAUGGUCUGAGCCAACAGAGUCCUGCUUGCUGUCCUUGUUCAGUAUCUAGUCUUUGCUUUUUGAAACGUUUGCUGAGCAGUCUCAGUGAUGCGUGGCAGCUCUGCCGCUCAGGAAAGGCGCCGAGUUCAAAAUGGGUAAACCUGCCUUUUGAAGCAUUGUGUCUGCCCACUUCUAUUUAUUGGUUUUUCCCCCUCAAAGAGAGGCUGCUGUGUGGACCCCAAGGAUGUUUUCCGCUUCUCCUGCCUUUUUUUUUUCUCCUUCAAACUGGAGAGCUGCUAACUUUAUUAGCUCCUUAUAUGGCAGCCCCAUUUUCUCAUGCCUUUAAUGGCUCUCUUUUGAUCUGUCCUGUUCUUGCCUUGCUUUUCCUGACAUGAACGUGGUGUUCAAGCUGAGAUGGGUUUAUAACCUGCUCCCUCACUAAUAAAUGGCCUGGCACUCUAAUCCUCUCCAAGCACUGAUAAGAAACAUCCAAAUGUUUUAACUGUGGGGCUGGCUGAGCUGUCCAGAGAUAGCCGGGUUCUCAGCUACACUCUCCCAGGAGUAAUUUAAAUUGUUCCUUGCAGUGUGUAUCCCAAAGGCCGAGGGUCCUGGAGAGCAGCUCAAGUCCCCUUGUCCUCAGCUGUUUGUCCCCUAGGAAGGGCAGCACAGAGGGCAGUGCAGCCGUGUCUCGCCCCUGGGUGCUCCUCAUGCUGUCGCUCAUGGCAGGACACUGAGCUGGCACAAAUGUGUGUCUGUUCUGCAAACACAAGGAUGGUGUUGGUCUUUCGUCACAGCCCCUCUGGCCUGCUGAGGGAAGGGUUAUACCAGCUCUGCUCUCCAGCCUGGGUCUGUGUUCUUUAAAAUCUUCGACUGAGCUGGGGGGAUCUGGUUACAGCAGCAUCGCUGGUGUGGUUGCGACUAGGAACAGCUUCCCUGCAAAGCAUUUGAGGAGUAUCACCGUGGUCCAGAGCUUUGUUUUGCGUCACCAGCCGAGCUUUGUGCUGCUCUUCCAGCUGGCUGUUGUGUAAAUGGAACCCUCCUGGCACUCGUCUCAACCCUCUCCUGUCAACAGAGUCGAUGGCUUUGUUUGUGACAGCUCCCAGUCCCUGCAUGUCCUGUGAGAUGGCCGGGUGACAGCAGUGACUCCGUGUGAGAUUCCCUGGAAGGACCUGGGAGCUGGUGUGGUUUCCUCGUGUCCCUCGGAGAUGCCACCCCAGCAGGUGGAAAGAACAGCUGGGAUUGCAGUUGCAGCAAGUGCGCUCCAUCGGAGAGGGAGAAUUUGCCAUGGAAAAGCUGACUGAUUUUUUGGCAGUUUUGGUUUGGGUUUUUCUUCUCCAAAAUGGAGAGCCCCUUAAAGGUAGAGAGACACGUACAAACUGCUCCUUGGGCUUCCCAUCAGGUAAAAAAAUGGAAAGCUGAGCCCAGUUCCACACUGGAAGCGCCGGUGGAGCGUGUUGGCAGCACAUUUUCGUGUGCGCAUGUGGCUCCAUCACGCGUUUUGAAUAAUAGAUGGUUUGCGUGCAAGGAGUUGUUGGGGUUUUUAAUUAAUCAGUAGAUCCCAGUUUGGCAGAGCCCAUCAUCACUGGGGAAACUGAGGCACAGGGCUGCCAGAGGAUGGGCUUGCAGCCACUGGAGUCAGGGAUAGGGCUCGGGGCCACCACGGAUCGAGUCCAUGUGCGUCAGAGAUGUGAUUAAAUCAGGAGAUUUGCAUGUUUGUUAAGCCACUACAGCUCGGUGACUUUGACCAGUAGCAAGGUGGACUUGUUGCCGGAAGGUUACGGUGUCCAGCCGGACUGGGUGGCAAAAGGCAGCUCUGACAAAUAAAACAUGGGUUUGAUCAAUACCAAAACGUCAUCAGGAGACUUUGGCCAUGGAAAAUACUGAAAUACAGGUUUGCUCUGUGGUGAAAGCCGUGAAGGCAUUAAACACCAACACUCGUGGC